CUAAAAUCUUUAAUUGGUAUCAAGAAAACUUUCAAACAAGCUAUUAUUUGGUUUUAUUUUCAAAAUAAUUAGUAAAAAAAAUUAUUUUUGCAAUUAGUAUCAAGCAACCCAAGAAUGUUUUGUCUUUAGUAUUGUUGGUGCGAGAAUCCAUCUGGCGCUAGGAUGCUGGAGUGGAAAAUGAAGCGGGCCUCCUGGGUGUGUGACCUGCAAAAAGUCCUGAUCGGAGGUUGCUCCAGUGAGGACCCUCCAACGCUCAAGUUAAAACUCUCAUUCAACAGAUAGAGGAGCAUAAGAGGCAUAAUAAUGGCAUACCUUUUUGGGGUCCUCUUUGAGCCUCCUUUGGGUGGAGGGUUAGAGCUUCAGUUGGCAAGUUGGUUGACGCAAUCUUACUUUAUUAGGAUAUUUGUAGGGUGCAAGACUAUCGCUCGAGAUUUUCAAGAUGUAGAUGUUGUGGUUGUCUUAUCAGUUCAGUGACAGUUGUCUUCUGAUAGGCGUUUGAAUUUUAAAUUGAGCUGCCAACUAGGUGUUACCAAGAUGAGAGUUG
rnacentral:lncRNA from 1 species